UUCCAUUGCCUCUACCCUAUGUGUGAUGGACACAGCGUGUUCCAAGGCCUCUACCCUAUGUGUGAUGGACACACCGUGUUCCAAGGCCCCUACCCUAUGUGUGAUGGACACAGCGUGUUCCAGGCCUCUACCCUAUGUGUGAUGGACACACGUGUUCCAUUGCCUCUACCCUAUGUGUGAUGGACACACCGUGUUCCAAGGCCUCUACCCUAUGUGUGAUGGACACAGCGUGUUCCAAGGCCCCUACCCUAUGUGUGAUGGACACAGCGUGUUCCAAGGCCCCUACCCUAUGUGUGAUGGACACAGCGUGUUCCAAGGCC